rnacentral:rRNA from 1 species
UGACAGUACUCCUACGGGGAGGCAGCAGUGGGGGAAUAUUGCACAAUGGGCGCAAGCCUGAUGCAGCCAUGCCGCGUGUGUGAAGAAGGCCUUCGGGUUGUUAAAGCACUUUCAGUCGUGAGGAAGGUAGUGUAGUUAAUAGCUGCAUUAUUUGACGUUAGCGACAGAAGAAGCACCGGCUAACUCCGUGCCAGCAGCCGCGGUAAUACGGAGGGUGCGAGCGUUAAUCGGAAUUACUGGGCGUAAAGCGCAUGCAGGUGGUUUGUUAAGUCAGAUGUGAAAGCCCGGGGCUCAACCUCGGAAUAGCAUUUGAAACUGGCAGACUAGAGUACUGUAGAGGGGGGUAGGAAUUUCAGGUGUAGCGGUGAAAUGCGUAGAGAUCUGAAGGAAUACCGGUGGCGAAGGCGGCCCCCUCGGACAGAUACUGACACUCAGAUGCGAAAGCGUGGGGAGCAAACAGGAUUAGAUACCCUGGUAG